rnacentral:rRNA from 1 species
GAUGAACGCUGGCGGCGUACCUAACGCAUGCAAGUCGAACGGACCCUGGUCGCAAUAUUGGGGUUAGUGGCAAACGGGUGAGUAACACGCAGGGAUCUGCCUUGAGGUGGGGAACAACGGACCGAAAGGUUCGCUAAUCCCGCAUGAGGUCGCGAGACCAAAGGAUUCGCAAGGAUUCGCCUUGAGAGGAGCCUGCGUUCGAUCAGGUAGUUGGGGAGGUAACGGCUCACCAAGCCGAUGACCGAUAGCUGUUCUGAGAGGAAGAUCAGCCACAGUGGGACUGUGACACGGCCCAGACUCCUACGGGAGGAAGCAGUGGGGAAUUUUGGACAAUGGGCGAAAGCCUGAUCCAGCAAUGCCGCGUGUGUGAAGAAGGCCUUCGGGUUGUAAAGCACUUUUGUCCGGAAAGAAAUGGCUCUGGUUAAUACCUGGGGUUGAUGACGGUACCGGAAGAAUAAGGACCGGCUAACUACGUGCCAGCCGCCGCCGUAAAAC